UUGAAGCAGGUGAAGAUAAUGAAGAAGCAUUACUAACACAAACUGGAUCAUUUUCGUUAGUUCUUAAAGAUUUCCUGCUUUCCUUUACAUCAUAUCAUAAGAAAAGAAUUUAGUUAUAUAACUAUCAUAAUUCCAAAUUUCUAAAACAAAAAUUUGACACUUAUUUAUAAGUAAAAUACAAAAUUAUACCGAUAAUUGAUAGAGGAAGAGAAGAUAGUGAUGAAGCAUCGGUAAUGGCAGGUGGUGCAUGAUUACAGUUGGCUCUAAAAAGUUGUCUUUUUUUACCUAAAUAUAAAAAAAAUAAAAUCGAUUACUUAGUAUUUAUAACUUAUAACUUUUUCAUGUCUAAGCUUGCACUUAUAAGAAUUAUAAUUGUAAUUUUUGUAAAUAUACCAAUAUUAGAUGUAGGAGAAGAUUGUCUCUAAAUGCGAACAAUACUAUUAAUACUAGUGAGCUUGCAAACAGGGUUAGACCUUGAAACUUAUCUCCAUCCAUCUAAAAUUUGAAAAAAAACAUCAAAAUUUUCUAAUAAAUUAUAACAUUACCAUUCAAAGCUAAAUAAUUCAAAUAUUUAAAUAAAUACCUUCACGUGUAACAAAGUCAAACAAAUUUUCUGAUUGGGAGGGUGAAAGUGUUUCUUCAGACGAAUCACCAUGUGCAGAAGAUAUGCAACUUUUCAACCCAGGCGGCAUCUUCCUAUCAUUCUUCUUACAUUGACUUACACUUGCCAUCACCUAAACAAAUUAAAAUAUGAACAAACAUUAACAAACUUAAUAAAAAAAAAACAAUGUGUCAAUAUAUCAAAUUAUACUUGAUAAAUAAACAGAUACAAUAGGAAGAGUAUGUCAAAAUUAAAAAAAAUAUAUUUAAAACCACCUUUAAUCAUCAUUAUCUUCUUCUUCAAAUUCAUUAUUAUCAUCUCCAAAUUCAUCUUCACUAACAUCUAUAUUUCCUUCCUGAUUAUUUUCCUCAUCAUUUUGUUCAAUUCGUUCUUGAAUUUCUCGAGCUGUUUGAAUAGGAACUUUUUUAGGAUCAACAUCAACCCUAUUCAAGUCAAUAAUAUCAUCAUUAUUGUCUAACGGUCUUGUUUGACGACCAUGCAUGUCAUUUUCCUCUUCUUGGUAAACCUCAUUAUCAUUAGCAAUUUCACAAACAUCAUCCUGUAAUUCUAGGCACGCUAUAAAGAUCUCGAGGAUGAGUUUUCAUUACAACAACCCAAUUUGGAUUUUUUGGAUCCUCAACAUGAAAGACUUGCUCAGCUUGACAAACCAAAAUAAAAUGCUCCUCUAUACUUAAUCGAGCAUUGGCUCUGACACUUGUGAUUGAGUAAUUAUCUAUUAUUUAACCAGUCUCUUUAUGUCGCACAUAAAACCAUUCACAUUUAAAUAAUGAAAUUUGAUUCCUUCCUGAGUAUCAUAGCUCCCACACAUCCAUCAAAGUUCCAUAAUACUCUUUGUCAGGAGAAUUAUUGUCACCCCUAGACAUGACACCAGAGUUUUGACUUUGUCUGAUUUUCUGAUGAUCUAAAGCAUGAAAGUGAAACCCAUUCACAAUAUAACUAGUAUAACACUUGUAACGUGUUAAAGGACCUUCAGCUAAAUGGAGUAAGUCAUCAGAAAUUG
rnacentral:misc_RNA from 1 species